rnacentral:rRNA from 1 species
GUGAGGAAUUUUGCGCAAUGGCCGCAAGGCUGACGCAGCAACGCCGCGUGGGUGAUGAAGGCCUUCGGGUCGUAAAGCCCUGUCAGGUGGGAAGAAAGGCCUGGAGAGGAAAGGUUUCAGGUUUGACGGUACCACCAGAGGAAGCACCGGCUAACUCCGUGCCAGCAGCCGCGGUAAUACGGAGGGUGCGAGCGUUAUUCGGAAUUACUGGGCGUAAAGCGCGUGUAGGCGGGGGGACAAGUCUGAUGUGAAAGCCCUGGGCUUAACCUGGGGAGCGCAUUGGAAACUGUUGUUCUUGAGUACUGGAGAGGAAGGGGGAAUUCCCGGUGUAGAGGUGAAAUUCGUAGAGAUCGGGAGGAAUACCAGUGGCGUAGGCGCCCUUCUGGACGGUAACUGACGCUGAGACGCGAAAGCGUGGGGAGCAAACAGGAUUAGAAACCGGUAGUCC